rnacentral:lncRNA from 1 species
GAAGUGUCUCAGUGCGCGUCCUCGCCAACUUUCUGGGUAGUUCUUUGCCGCUUCUUUCUCCUCUCUCUCUCCUAUUCCUUAACUUUAACAGGUGAACCUGCUACUGGGAGAGGCACAGAGCCGUUUAGAGCCCUGUUCUGUGCCCCAUGCACAUGUAGGCAUGAUAGAGAUCGGAUAGUCUAGCUCCCAGCAUUGUCUUGAAGGAUUUAAGGGCUUGAAAACUGACUGAGGACAGCGUUUGGCCCAUAAGGAAGCACUCAAUGAAUUAUUCUAAUUAUAGUCAUCGCGAGCGCUAAUUAAGCUUGCGUGGUGCCUUGUGGGGCCUUGCUGAGUUUGGCUGCCUUGUAUUUACAAUGACAGUAUAGGCUUUGAGGAGAUUUUUCCGCCUUGGGAGAGGACGCCAGGAAGAGUCUUCUUCAAUGAUAACUGAGGUGAUGUUCAGGAGGACAGGGCAUGGUGGAAGAAGCUAAGAUUCUUAAGGUGGCUUUGUGCAGCCCCAAGAGUGCCGCUGUAUGUUCUGGUGAAGCAGCUGAGGUGGAGACUGGACAGAGCCAGCAUCCUGGGAGGAACUCACCAAGCCUGCAUUUGGAGAGCCGAUCUAGAUAAAUCUACAUCGAGGUGAAGCACGGGAGGCUAAUGAAACUGUGUCUCAGCCACCCUACCCCUACCCACUGGCUUCCCUUGUUCAAAACAUUUAAAAUACCAGAACCAGUUGUGCGAUGUUUUUGAAGGGCUGAGGAAUUCAAGUAAUGAGUGAGGAUGUAGACAAGAGGGAGUGUUCUGAACAUAGCCCUAGACUGCGGGUGGAUGCUGCCCCAAAGGCAGUAGCCUUCCCUUUAGGACAGCUGAGGCAGAGAGGAACCCCAGGCAGAUGAGCAGAAUCUAUUAAUUCUCUUUGCAGCUGUCGGGUCUUUUCAGUCCAGCUACAUUCCAGGUUUCUGGCUUUUUGGUAGUCAAACACUGACCUGUAGAACUUGGAAGGGUUCCUCCCUUAGCUGGCACCUCUCCACAGACCCUCAGAUGUCCACUGAUUCUGCUAGGAAGGCAUGACUCCCUGGCACCUGUACAGUACCAAUACACAUGGGUAAAUGUGGGGGAUAUCGACAAUAAGAGAAUGAAGAACUGGGAGGUUAGAGUGAGUGUUAAGAUUCUUCACAGCUCUGCCAGCUCUCCUGUCUGCAUCCCCACUUAAGUAGCUCUGUCUCUCUAGGGCAGUUUAUUUAGCUUUUCUGUGCCCCAGGUUCCCUUGCGAAAUGAAAAUAAUACCACCGUAUGCUGAAGGUUUGAGUUACAAUACUGUAUGUGUAACGAGCUGAGAAAUGUGUCCACUGCUUAGCACCCUGUGAACCGACCACGUGAACAGCGACAGGCUGUUAUACUGAACGGCAUCUGUCUGAGACGAGGGCAGAGAGCUGGGGUGGAUGGGGCGACUAUAAAACAGGUGUUAGUCUUGAGUAAUCAGGAAGUUGGCAAAAAAGAAAACAAAACCAAACUAAAAACCACAGAUGCUGUAACAUGAGUCUCAGAGGAAAAGGGAUGUUUGUUUGUUUGUUUUUUUCUCCUGAACAGUGGAAAGAUGUGAGCUGAACCUGUCCUUCAGCAAGAUCCCUGUGUAUAGCGGCAUGGAAAAUGGUCCUUAGAAUUUUAAUUGUAAGGAAGUGACAAUUCUGUUUGGACAGUGGUGUGCAGAGGAAUUUUGUGAGACCAGAAAUGGAGAAUUCAUUUGUUCAGACCAAUUCGGGGCAAGAGGGGAGGAUGUGAAGUCUUUCCUUUGAGGAAUUGACUCCAUUAUUCCCAUUUGCAACGAAAUCUAGCUCAAAUGGAUUUAAAUAGGAACAAAUUUCCGGGUCCUAAAGCUAUCCAUUACAGGAACACCAUCUAUCUUAAUUGUCGGUGUCUGGUGGGAUGUUUCUCUCACCGAAAGGCAGCCCAGGCUUCAGUUUCUCUGCAGGAAAUAUGCUUGCUCCAGAUUGAACCUGUUGGGAAAUAUGGUGGUCUUAUGGGUUUGCUUUUUUAUGCCUCUGCAAAGGGAACUCCUUGCUGUAUUCUGGGAAUCUCAGAAUGGUCCUGGCCAGAGUCUAUCCUCCUGGCCAACAUUUAAUUAAAGCUUGCUUCAAAUUUGGCUCAAAAA